rnacentral:rRNA from 1 species
CCGGCACGGUGAGUAACACGUAUCCAACCUGCCGUCUACUCUUGCCAGCCUCUGAAGGAAGAUUAAUCCAGGAUGGCAUCAUGAGUUCACAUGUCCGCAUGAUUAAAGGUAUUUUCCGGUAGACGAUGGGGAUGCGUUCCAUUAGAUAGUAGGCGGGGUAACGGCCCACCUAGUCAACGAUGGAUAGGGGUUCUGAGAGGAAGGUCCCCCACAUUGGAACUGAGACACGGUCCAA